GGAUUUCAUAAUUCUAUUGUGGUCUACUGCUCCAGAGAAGAGUAUCUUUUGGAGUUGUGAACAACAUCAUAUGAAAGCUGAACCUGAGUUUCUCAGGCUGAGAAAAAGGUUUCUACAUCUGAAAAUGACCCCGCAUUUUGCACAUAAAAGAAAAAACUCUGCAGAGGUAGUGGUUUCCAUCACCAAUUCAACGUCUGUUUUUCUCUCAGGUACAUCUAAAAUGUAGAUAAGCUCAACACUAGAUACUUACUAUGAAGAUACUUACUAUGAAGAUGAAGAGGUAUCUGGUGUUGCAUGUCCCCAGGCCCAGAUCAGAAAUAAUAUAAAUAAAAAAUUUUACUAGUUUCCUG
rnacentral:lncRNA from 1 species